ensembl:lincRNA
UUGAAUUUGGUUUACUUUUCCACAUUUAGGAAUUUUCUUGUCCGUGGAAUUUGCUUCAGCUUCUAUAUUUCUUCUUUUAUCAGGCUUUAGUCCACUCAAAGAGCCUGUCACCUUCAGCUGUGUUUUUUUCCACCGCUCAGAAAUGAAUUUAGAUUGUAUCUCCACAGCGCCGUGAAGGGGCGUACCUGGUGGCUGAGACAAGUUUCUUUUUCAUGCAGUGGGAGGUGGGUCAACACAGAGGGCGUUACAUCACAGCCUCCAGGACGAAGACAGCAGCUCAGGCUCGUCAGCUGGGAAGGCUGGCCGCUCAGGCUCCUCUCUAGAUGGAGGUCUGGGAGAGUCGAGCCCACAGCUACUCUGGUGCAGGGGCUCCCACUCCUGGUCCGGGGGAGCCACACACCUGGCUCUAAUUCCAGCUGGGCUUCAUUGCUUAAUUGCUUAAUUGAAACCUUAAUUGAACUGACAAGCUGCUUGACUGGAAAAGCCGCAAGUUUUUUAUUUCUACACAAAUGUUUGGAAUUUUAUGCUGCUAAUGAAACAUGGGAGUUACAACGCAACUUUCGACGAGCUGUAAGUACUUUUGACAGCCAAAAAGAAUCAAACAGUUCAAAAUUCAUCCUAUUUCUGAGGCUCAAAUGCUGUAACUGAGAGUCUGACUGCAACUUAACCUAGCUGGUGCAUGAGCCACCAGGCCCAGGGCUGGGAAUCCCUGAACUAUUACUCUCGGGCUGAGAGAAAAAGUCAGCUUGCUGACAGAAGAUUAGACCUUGACUUUGUUUUCUCAAUGUUAUGACAUUGUAAUGCCACUCUGUGAGGUCUUUGGUUGCCACGAGAAACAUGGAUUGUAGGAACAGAAAAAACUUUCAGCUUAAGGGCUUGGUCAAUGUAUUUGCUGAACAAAAAGAUUGCCUCAAUCUCAAACUUCACAAACAGGGCCUUUUGUAAAAAGAGGUUCCCUUCCACAUCGUCACACUACCACUACUAUACUGGUUGGUUUGGGCAGCUUGAAACUGAUCAUAAGGCUCACUGUGAGGUUUCCUGCAGAUGGCUGAGAUGUUCCUGGGCUGGUAUGAUGACCCUCGGUCCUGCAGGACUUGACUCAUUCCUCCCAAAUCUACUUUCCUAGUUUUCUGGACUAGUCUGCUGGUUGUAGAACACCUUCCCUGCACACGUUCUCUCACAGACAGACCCCCUUCUAUCAUUCCUCUAGCAAACAGGAGAACUUGGGUAUUUCAGAGUUCUUGCAUUAAUGGCCACCAUGUCUUUUGAAUGAUUUGAAUUUAUACAGAUUCUUACUAUAGAUCCACCCAGUUCUGACAGUGCUCCUCAAGUGUUCAGCAACCCUACCUGCUCACUAAUUACAAUGGAAUAUUUAGAGCCCAGUGAUGUACUGGUGUAAAAUGUAGUCAAAUAAAUCUUUAUUGCACAUCAGUACAGGAUUUGUGACCAAACAUAACACUGAAAAUCCAUGUGAGCAAAAACCAGAAGAUACUAAAACAUAACAUGAACCUGAAACCCUAAAGAUUGCAUUUACAUGCUAAUUGAUUAUAUGAGUACUGUGUGUAAUUUCAUACAGAAGUGUGAAAGAAAUAUAUUUAAAUUGUGGACUAAUAAAUAAGGAUAAGGCAUCUGAAAUUAGGUGCAGCUUCCUUG